AGGGAUUGGGGGGUGGGAGGGAGAGGGGAACUGCAGUGCCAGGAAAAUGGAUUGUUUUCCUGGCACUGCAGUUCCCCUCUCCCUCCCACCCCCCAAUCCCUGGUUGCUGAAG
rnacentral:miRNA from 1 species